ACAACACUCCUAAUAUCCUGCCUCUAAAGCAAAGGGGUGGAAUUAGCCAUCUGAUGGUGUAGGGACAGCUAGCUACCUUUCUUGGAACUAAGUGUGACAGCUAAGUAGGAGAGUGACAGAUCUCUUCUCCUUUGCAAUCACCACUGGUUCUUUGGAAAACUCCAAACUGCUUUCUCUCCCAAGCUCCUCUCAUCAUCUGCCUCCUUUCCCUCUGGCUUGUCAGCGCUGAUUCAGCAUCAGUCAGAUGUCCUUGGGCCCUUGGGCUUGUUGGGAUGAGAAAGGGAAAGAAGGGCGGGACCUGCCAGUAACCUGGAAUGCUUUUAGUAGGUUGAAUCUGAAAAUGGGCUGUGAGAAAUUAUAAUCUCGCUUCAACUGCUUGCAACCAGCAUGUCUUGGUAUGUAUUUAUUUAGUCUCCGCCUCUAGAUCAGAGAGACCUUGUAAUCUGUAGCCUUAUCACACUAACCAUAGCCAACAGGUCACCAGCAUUCCCACAACCUCCCGUCUGUCCUUAAAACGCACGAUUGUCUUUUUACACACUCAUGAAUCUAGCAGCU
rnacentral:lncRNA from 1 species